rnacentral:miRNA from 1 species
GUGUGAAUGCAUGAGUGUACACACUCAUGCACACACACACACACACCUUAGCACUAAGG